GGGCCGCGCCGGGUCGCGUUUCUCUCUAGUGCCCGAGGCGGCUCCGGUUGGGAGAGCCCUUCGCCAGCUCCACGGGGACCUCUGUGCACGGAUGGACCCGCCCGGACCCGGCGGGAAGCGGCCUGGCAGGCGGCGGCCCCGGCGGCGUCAGCAGAGGGAGGACAGGGCCCGGGCCGCGGGUCCCUGAGGCGCGCGGGCCCACCGGGCCCGGCGUUGGCACCAUGAUGCCGGGCGAGACCCAUUCGGCGGCGCCCGGGACGGCGGCGGACCUCUCGCGGUGUCAGGGCUGCGCCUCCCUGCAGCAGAAUUUAAACGAGUAUGUUGAAGCAUUAAUUACCUUGAAGCAAAAAAUUAUUAAUACAGAUAAUUUAUUAACAGAAUAUCAGAAGAAAUGUGAUGAGCUGCAGUUUGCAAGAAGAGAGAACAGUACUCUGCAUCACCAAGUGGAACAGAUGCUUCAGAAAAUCUCUCCUCUGCAGAAAUGUCAGGAAGAGCUGGGAUCUUUAAAAGCAGAGCUAGAGGAGAAGAAGAGUUCUCUGAAGUUGUACCAGGACACUCAUCAGGAGUAUGCUCGUGUGAAAGAAGAAUGCUUGAAAACAGAUGCUCAGAAGAAGAAGCUAGAAGCCAAGGUGAAGAAGCUGGAAGAGGCUGCUGUUAAGCAAACUCAGGACUUCAAGCAACUGAGGACUGAGAAGAAGAUACUCGAGAAGGAAUUUAGGAAGACACAGGAACGGCUGGAUGAAUUCUCUAAACAGAAAACUGCAAAGGAGUUGAGACAUAUUGGAACACAAAUUUCAAGCGAUUCUUACGGAAGCAUAGAUAAAAGGAAAGUAAAGCUGCUUCUGAAGGAACUCUGGCUCUGUAUAAACACAACACACAGACUACCUGGUGAAGGCAGCAGGUGUGUCCCAGAAAAACCCGCCAAAGAAAACCCCCCCGCACCCAGAGACUCCCGGGACGCUGGCGCACCCCCUCCGGCAGGAGGCGGUCCCCUCAGAGCCGCAGCCGUGCAGACGUGCCUGACGGAACUGUCCAUGGAGAUAGAGGGCGACUUCUCUGCCUGUAAGAGUGUGGGAACAGAGGGGCCCGGUGCCGCUGCUCACCGUCCCGAACGCGUGUCUCCCGAGGGCCGGAAUCCUGAGGUCUCGCUGCACAGGAGUGAGCAGGACAGCGCUGACUUCUCUGAUCGUGAUCGCUUUUUUGAUGAAGAUCUCCAGGCUGCAGUCGACUUCUUCAGACUUCCCCCUCCUCUUUUGUCUCCGGUGCCGUCCCCGCCUCUGGUGUCCUUACCACAUCUGAGCACGUUACCUUCUUCGCUCGCACCUGAAACCUACUUCGGAGAGUAUACGGAUUCCAGUGACGAUGAGUCGUCCCAACCUAGAAAUUCUGCCGCGUCUGUUUCAGAAGAUGAGACGUCUGAAUCACAUUACUUUGGCUCAUCCGGAAGAAGUGAUGGAAGGAGGGAUACGCGGGAGGAAAAGCUCACAUCGCACGAAGCCUCCAGAACUCUGACUGCGCUGGAAGUAAAUGGAGUGACAGCGGUUGGGUUUGGGACAGUCACAGCGGCCCUGAGAGAGCCUUCAGCCACACGUGCUUUAGCUCGCGAGCAACCCUGGGCAGUGUCCUCGGAAGCCACGAGUGACAGGGAAAGAGGCAUUUUAGAUGAGGCACAGAGACUGAGAGAGGGUCGCGAGGCAGACAAGUCGGUGCAGACAGAGAACACGCUCGAUGACACCGUAGGAAGCGUGUGUGGGGGGACGUCUGGCCGUCAGGCCCAGGACGGGGCGGCAGCCCUCUGGGGGGCUGACGUGCAUCACCCUCCCCUCGGCAGCAGACCAUUCAGUGACCUCGUGGAAUCUGAAGGAAAGACCCUGCUGUCUGAAAUGAUAGGAUCGCCCAAACCACAGUUUACUGCGUGGACACUGACAAACGAAAUCCCUUUUGAAUCGGAUCAUGUAUCCAUUUCUGACCACUUUCAGGGAAUGUGUAGAGUGUUGGGAAAAGACAGAGAUGUUCGGAGGUUCAUUUUAGGAACCUCGCCUGAACCAGCAGACGCAGGUCACACAGUGGGCACCACGGGGCUCGGUGUUGACGCCAGGCUUUCUUCCUCUCCUACCUCGGGGGCAUCGUCUGUGUGCAGUGACUCCCAGCCUUGCUCUGAUGCACACCUUCCUCCUGACUCUGCCCCCACUGAGCUGCAGCGCUCAGAACAGAAGCUACGAGCUGAGGCCUUCACCUUGCUGGACCUGCAACCCGAGCCCCCAGAGUGUCCUGCCGGAGAGAACCAUCUGGAAGAUAGCUUGUAUGCUUUGAGCGCCGAGUUGGGAGCAUCACAUUUUAAUAACCUAAGUGGCAGUGAGGUCGAGGGCACAGACGUUGGGAAAGGCAGGCCCAGAGUCUGUUCACUUCCGCAUUCGGAGUUCAUAAAAGCUGCGAAAGAGGCUCAGUGUCGAAGUCAGGGUCCGAGAACUGAGCCCUCCCUGACCAGGGCGGAUUCCACGCCGUUGGUGGAGUCUCAGUGCGGCUUGACCAAGAGUGGGUUUGGCUUCGUGAAAAGCCCUUCCUGGCACCAGAGUGACCUGUUAAGGAGAGGUAGUGAGGAAAGGCUGAGAGCUAAAUCAGAACACGAACACAAGACUGACCAUCAGUUACAAAAGGCAGUGCCAGCCUUAGAAAACAGGGGACCCGCGUCCAGGCCUGAACUUGCCAGAGAAAAUAACCCCGCGGGGCUCAGGGCCGCUCCGUCACUGUUGCCUAACCAAGUUUCGGUGAUCACCAAGCAGGCCAGACCCGAAACGGCACACGGGGCUAGGUCAGAGCACUGGGGGCCGCAGAGGACUGAGCCUGCCUUCGCGACGGCGUCUGGAGCGGGACGUGGUGGAGAGAGAGAGGACCCGGCCUGGAAUGUGCCGGGGGCGGCUGCUACGGGGGGGACCUCGCCACAAGUUUCUGCCUCAAGGAGAAAGUUAGAUUUCAAUUUUCCAAGCGGUUCUGUACCUGUAGAAAACCCUCACUGUUCCACGAGUAGCAAACUGUCUUUCUCUUGUGAAAAGAUCCCAGUCCCGAACCAGGAUGUCCUGACGGGAGCCCCGGCACAGGAGGCAGUGCAGGAGCAAGGUCUGCUCCUCCGCGCCCCGAGUCUGGACUCGUCCGGGCUGCCUGUGGAUGGACGCCUUCCGGCCACGCCGGCACCCGUGUCGAGAAGCUUUCCUGGUGCAGGAGCACCGUGUGGGGGCUCGGGCAGAUCUGGCAGGGGGGCCCUGGCCGUGUCCGAGGACCCUCCUGGCGGGCGGCAGAGCCUGAGGGGGUCUCUGGAGCUGCUGUCGCCGACCCCAGGCGGCGCUUCUCCCGGAGACCCAGGCACCUCUGGGACGGCGCUCCCGUCGGCGGGUCUCGGGAAAGAUGAAGAGACGCGCGGCGUCCCUCCGGGUGCCCUGGCCGCGGCCCCGUGUUGUUACACGGGCAUCCGGGAGGCGGGAGGCGGCGACACGGAGGUGGAAGAGAGCGAGGCACCCAGCUGCAGCGAGGGCGAGAGUGAGCCCGAGGCCGUGACGGGGGCCGCCCAGCACGGGGCCGCCAGCGCCUCCGGGGAAGGUGGGGGAGCCCUGGGGGCCAGCGCAGCCGAGAGCAGGCCCUCCGUGGAGGUGGGGUGUCUGACCUCGGCCCUGCAGGACUUCAACAUCAGUACUCUCUCAGAGAUAGACGGACUUUCUACGUCCGAGGUCGUCAUGUUUCUCGAAAGUUGUCAGUUAAGAGAUUAUAGUUCUGGGGACUCUGUUUCAGAAUGUUCUAGCAAAGGAACCCUGAGUAAGGACAUGAGCAAAGAGUUAAAGCCAGGUGAGCCAUCAGGAGAAAAGUACAGGAAGCAGCUGUGUGAAGAAGAAGCGCUCGAGACCCCGGAAGAGUGGCUCGAGUCCGAGGAGGAGGACGGGCCCCUGCGGGGCACACGGCGGCUCUCUCGGCGCUCUCUGGAAACGCUGUCCGAGGUCCUCACCAAGAUCGGACAGGAGCUUCAGGCCAGCUGCGAGGGCCCCGCCGGAGAGGAUGCUGCCGAUUUCGUGCUCUUCAACGUGCACGACGCCGUGACUGCCGGGCCCGUCCGAGAGCACGGCCCACCUCGGGAAGCGGGGGACCCCUCGCCACUGCCCACGGGUUCGCCCCCUCCAGCAGCCGGCCUGGCCGGCGAGGGCGGCUCUCCGGGCAGCGGUCCCACGGGGAACGGAAGCGCCCUCAGCGGACCCGAGGCAGCUUCCCACGUCACCAGCCCGAACCGUGGUGGGGAGGAGGGCCUGUCAGAAGCGGCGGAGCCCUCAGCCCUGGACGCCGACUCGGGAGCGGGGCAGACGGCGGAGCGCGGUGCCGAAGGGGAGGCGGAAACGACAUUCCAGUGCCAGAUCUCUACAGUGACCUCCGAGGUCAUCAAUGUGCUGAUCAACAAGGAUCAGAAUCUAGUCAUUGAAAAGGGGGACCACUGGACCAUCAUCAACGGGGUGGCUCUCAUGCCAAACGUGGACCAGGUUAUACUGUGCGACACUCCCGAGGACAUCGCUGUCUCCCCGGAGCCGGGAGGCCCGGGAGCCGGUUUCAUCUCCGUCACUGCUGUGGACAAGUCUCCAGAGACCGGUCACCCUGGCCUUGCGUUUCCGGAGCCCCAGGGCGGCAGCCUCCCGGGUGCCCAGGAAGAAAUCUCCAGCAGUAGUCAGAGCACCAACUUCGAUAAAAGUCGCUUGCGCAACAGGCCGGUCAAACCUAGUGUGAGGCUUAGCUCCGAAAUCUACGACCAGAACUUCGAGUCUCAGGUAGUUGCGUCCGAUCACACGUAUUUUAACUCAAAACUGGAGCCGUUUGGCAAGAAUAAGAAUCGAUCCAAGGUGACCAACAAAGAUCAGUCAAACAAGCCAGCAAAGACCUCGGCGUCAAGCAGAGUUGAAGCUAAUCAGAGUGAAGGCUCCCAGUCAUUUUUAGGGGAAAGAGAGAACACAAAAACCCAGAGAAAUCAAACUCAGACCAUCCUAGCCAAUGCGGACACGUCGACCCCCACGGACUGUUCUGACACCCUGAGUAAAAUACGGCAGGAGGUGGGGCCCCCUCUGCCACCCUUGCUUGCUCCUUUGGUUGCCACCCCCCCACGGACUUCCCGGCCGGUGUCUCCUCUGAUAGCCGCUUCCACUCCCUCCUCCCCUGCCUCUCCCAUCGGCCCCAUUUCUCCCUUGUGUGAAAUCCCGGUGCCUCCUGCGAUGUCUCCUUUGCCGGAAGAGCCCGGAUGCCCCUCGCCCCCGCACACGUCCCCGUCCCCAUCCACCGCAGCAGCCGGCGAGAGGAUCCUGUCGUCUCCCCUGCAGUUCUGUGCUGCGACGCCAAAGCAUGCCCUCCCUGUGCCGGGCCGCCUCCCCCCCUUUGCUUCCGCCCACGCGGCUGUGGCCGGACCCCAGGAGAAUUCCGUCAAAAUCCUUGACAGCAUGUACCCGGAGUUGUCUGCCAGGGCCCGCACCCUCAACAUCCUCAAAGGGAACAUUCAGCUCGCCCGGGGCCCACCUGCUGACUGUAAGAACUUAGCAGGGCCCGUCGGUGCCAUCACAGGAUUCAAAGCAAUCACGUCAACAUCAACAGCCUUUGUGAAAACAGGGGGCAGCUCUGGGAGUGACUGCAGUCAGGAUAAGUCCAAAGAUACGGGGACUCACCAGGACUCAGGUGGGAAAAGGACGUUGUCUGCAUCUACGCUGAGGAGCGCUAAGAGACUGCGGCUGGACAGCGGGUCCCCAGAACCAGAACCCGGGAGCACUGCCGCAGAAGGAGUCCACAAGACCCUCCGGAGGAGCCUCCCUCAGGCUGAAGGCGUGGCGACAGAGGAGGAGAGAAGCGCUCUUCCGACCGUCAGUACAGCCUCACAGUUGCCUCCAAACCCGAAAGAAACCGUAGAGUCCCACGACAAAGCCAUAGCUGACGCGCUGAAGAAGAUUGCAGAGUCGUCUUUUGAUCUCCUGCCUGUCAUUCGGAGUCACGUGUACGUGGGAAAUAUCUCCAAAAAGCCCGUAAUGAGAGAUCAAGAGAAGGAAGUUGUUCACGAAUUCAGCACAACCAAAAAGCAUCUAGCAGAGUGCUUGCUUCACUCCAUCCUCUCAGAACUGAAGAUUCAGAAGAUCUCCCUGGAGCGCAAUUACAUUCACGCCCUCUGCAGGGUGUACGUGGGCAUAUGCCGGCAACUGGGAGACUUGGAGCGAGCCCGCCUGUUUUGCUACAGUCUACUGAAGGAAGAUUUUCCGGAAUCAGAAAAACUGACUUUGUUCAUUGCAAACAUGUGGCAUGAUAUAUUUAUUUCCCAGUCGGUGAUUAAUAAAGCAAUGCAGCUGGUUGCCAGGCAGCGUGCGAAAGGAGAGGUUCGGAACUGUCUGAGAGCGUUCCUCAACUGGGAAAAGAAUGCUCCUGUGGAUGUGGGUUUCAUGGUUUCUAAGCUGCUUUUGACCAUACAGCUGUGUCCAAAAACAGAAUUCCAGUCCAGUGAAAAAUUUGGUGAGGAUCUGAGUGAUAACACUUGGGAAUACAUAUUUGCCAUCGACCUGCUGUGUUGCCACCAGAAGUGGAUUUGGACACACGACAACAUUAUAAGUAAAGAGCUGUGGCCCGUCAUGGAUAAGUGGAUAAAAUACCGAAAAGGACAUGCAAACAUUGCAUAUACUCCCGACAUUAUUAUAGCAUCAAUUCUGAGGCUGAUUGAAGGCUCUCCUUACUCGGAACUGACUUCUCUGUCUGCAGCAUGUAGCAUUGCCCCCCGACACACAACAAACAAGGUUCGUCUGAUAACCUGCACUGUAGCCCCUCAGAUCCUUGAAGGUACUUCCUGCGACUUUCAAGUAUCUCUAGAGUUGAAUUAUUUAGAACUUGAAGACAGUACCGCUCAAAAGAAGGUUUGAGAGUAUUAUUUACGUUGUCUAAGUAAGUCUUCUACUUAGAGCUGUCUGUGGCUGCUUUUGUUACCGUCUCAGCAAGAAGGUAUUCCUGCUCUGUAUCUGCUUCACAUGCAAACCUAAGAACCUUGCGCUAAAUAAAUGUGUAAAAUGGUUCAAGACGGCAACCUGCUUUCAAGGAAGACUCUAAUUUCACUGGAAAGGACAGAAAAUACACUUGGAGUGAAGUGUGCGAGCCCGGAGUGAUUGCCCGCGACCGUGGAGGAAGAGAGCCACCUGCAGAGAUGAAUAAGGCGUGGGUGGUGGAGGGGGCGAGCGGCUCCGUGGGCACCGCCGCCACACGGGCCCUGCAGAGCCCCUCCCUGCAGGCCCCCGGGACAGUCCGCGACAGCAGGAAGCAGGAAAGACACGAGGGCCAGGGGGCGGCAGACGGGCCGUGUGUGUGUCUGCACAUUCUCCUUUCGGCAGCAUCUUCUCUUACCGAUGUUCGUAGUUUGAACUGAUUUAUUUUAAACCGAGAAACCUUCUUGAAGAAAAAAUUAGGAAAAGAUGUUAAGUCUAUAAAUACAUAUAUCAACCUCCAUAAAGUAUCUUUGGAUUUCGAAACGAACACGAAACUUUUUGAAGUCACGCUUACAAAAUACUGUGUGAUUUUUGCCGCUGUUGUUGCAGGAGGUUGUCCAUUUACACACUUGUUGGUUGUGACGGGAGAGGAAGCGGGCGUGGGAGAGCGGAGGGCUGCGCUUCUGGUGGCUUCCGUGCGAUCCUCGUGCACCUGUGGUGGACGGUCGGCCCCACACGUGCUUCGCCCCUGAAGCUGGCUCUCCGGAGUCCGUGCCUUCCACCUUUGGCCGGUCGUCCAGAUGCCCGGAGAAGCUUCUUAAAGAAUGUCGGUUGGGCCAGUUGGGCUUGAAGGAAGGGUUCCCGUCUGCUGUGAAAAGCAUCAGCUCCGUCAUCGGCAUGUUUAUUCAGCAUGCCCAGGACGAAGAUAUACCGUGGGGCAUACAGC